ACCGGUGUCAAUAACGCUGAGGUCCCACCUGUUCUCAUACCGAACACAGAAGUUAAGCUCAGUUGUGCAGAAAGUACUUGGCUGGACACGGCCUGGGAGGAUAUGUAGAUGCCGGUU
rfam:Firmicutes bacterium CAG:475 genomic scaffold, scf139